rnacentral:lncRNA from 1 species
GGGGUCAUUUGGGGCCAUUUUGGGACAUUUUGGGUCCAUUUUUGGCCAUUUUGGGUCCAUUUUUGGCCAUUUUGGGUCCAUUUAGGGACAUUUUGGGGUCCAUUUUGGGACAUUUUGGGUCCAUUUUGGGACAUUUUGGGACAUUUUGGGGACAUUUUAGGGUCAUUUUGGAUCCAUUUAUGGCCAUUUUGGGGCCAUUUUGGGACAUUUUGGACCAUUUUGGGUUCAUUUUUGGUGCCAUUUGGGACAUUUUCGGGUCAUUUUGGGUCAUUUUAGGGCCAUUUUGGGACAUUUUUUGGCCAUUUUGGACCAUUUUGGGUUCAUUUUGGGGCCAUUUUGGGACAUUUGGGGUCAAUUUUUGGCCAUUUUGGGUUCAUUUUUGGGGCCAUUUGGGUCAUUUAUGGCCAUUUUGGGUCCAUUUGUGACCAUUUAUGGCCAUUUUGGGCCCAUUUGGUUUCAUUUUGGGUCCAUUUGUGGCCAUUUUUGGCCAUUUUAGGGCCAUUUUGGAUCGAUUUGGGUCCAUUUUGGGUCCAUUUAUGGCCAUUUUGGGGUCAUUUAUGGCCAUUUUGGGGUCAUUUGUGUCCAUUUUGGGUCCAUUUAUGGCCAUUUUGGGGUCACUUGUGUCCAUUUCUGGCCAUUUUGGGUCCAUUUGUGUCCAUUUUGGGUCCAUUUAUGGCCAUUUUGGGGUCAUUUGUGACCAUUUAUGUCCAUUUUGGGUCCAUUUGUGGCCAUU